rnacentral:rRNA from 1 species
AGAGUUUGAUCCUGGCUCAGGACGAACGCUGGCGGCACGCUUAACACAUGCAAGUCGAACGAGAGAAGAGGAGCUUGCUUUUCUGAUCUAGUGGCGGACGGGUGAGUAACACGUGAGCAAUCUGCCUUUCAGAGGGGGAUACCGAUUGGAAACGAUCGUUAAUACCGCAUAACAUAAUUGAACCGCAUGAUUUGAUUAUCAAAGAUUUAUCGCUGAAAGAUGAGCUCGCGUCUGAUUAGCUAGUUGGUAAGGUAACGGCUUACCAAGGCGACGAUCAGUAGCCGGACUGAGAGGUUGAUCGGCCACAUUGGGACUGAGACACGGCCCAGACUCCUACGGGAGGCAGCAGUGGGGAAUAUUGCACAAUGGAGGAAACUCUGAUGCAGCGAUGCCGCGUGAGGGAAGAAGGUUUUAGGAUUGUAAACCUCUGUCUUCAGGGACGAAAAAAGACGGUACCUGAGGAGGAAGCUCCGGCUAACUACGUGCCAGCAGCCGCGGUAAUACGUAGGGAGCGAGCGUUGUCCGGAAUUACUGGGUGUAAAGGGAGCGUAGGCGGGAUCGCAAGUCAGAUGUGAAAACUAUGGGCUUAACCCAUAAACUGCAUUUGAAACUGUGGUUCUUGAGUGAAGUAGAGGUAAGCGGAAUUCCUAGUGUAGCGGUGAAAUGCGCAGAUAUUAGGAGGAACAUCAGUGGCGAAGGCGGCUUACUGGGCUUUAACUGACGCUGAGGCUCGAAAGCGUGGGGAGCAAACAGGAUUAGAUACCCUGGUAGUCCACGCCGUAAACGAUGAUUACUAGGUGUGGGGGGACUGACCCCUUCCGUGCCGCAGCAAACGCAAUAAGUAAUCCACCUGGGGAGUACGACCGCAAGGUUGAAACUCAAAGGAAUUGACGGGGGCCCGCACAAGCAGUGGAGUAUGUGGAUUAAUUCGAAGCAACGCGAAGAACCUUACCAGGUCUUGACAUCGUAUGCAUAGCUCAGAGAUGAGUGAAAUCUCUUCGGAGACAUAUAGACAGGUGGUGCAUGGUUGUCGUCAGCUCGUGUCGUGAGAUGUUGGGUUAAGUCCCGCAACGAGCGCAACCCUUACUGUUAGUUGCUACGCAAGAGCACUCUAGCAGGACUGCCGUUGACAAAACGGAGGAAGGUGGGGAUGACGUCAAAUCAUCAUGCCCCUUAUGACCUGGGCCUCACACGUACUACAAUGGCUGUCAACAGAGGGAAGCAAAGCCGCGAGGUGGAGCGAACCCCUAAAAGCAGUCUUAGUUCGGAUUGUAGGCUGCAACCCGCCUACAUGAAGUCGGAAUUGCUAGUAAUCGCAGAUCAGCAUGCUGCGGUGAAUACGUUCCCGGGCCUUGUACACACCGCCCGUCACGCCAUGGGAGUCGGUAACACCCGAAGCCUGUAGUCUAACCGCAAGGAGGACGCAGUCGAAGGUGGGAUUGAUGACUGGGGUGAAGUCGUAACAAGGUA